AGCAGAGCUGCACGACGCCGUUAAUGUUGUGAUAAAACAAGAGGGAAACAGUCAGAAGAUCGAAAACCUUCUGACAAAUGUGUCUUUGCUUCAAUGAGUGUUUACGAAAAUAGAGUCAGGAGACUAAAGUAAAUAUAUCCGUCUGUCCUCCCUGACAGUGAGGACAGGACUUUCACUGAUGCUGGAGCAGCUACAGGAGUCCAGAGAGGACAAACUGGGGACACCACAGGAGACGUGACAGCAGCAGACACAGGAAGUGAUGUCACCACCACCACACAGCCAAUGGCGCCGCUGGUUCAGGAGUGUGGGGGUGUGGCCAGAGAGCAAAGACUGACAGGAGGCUCAACCAAACAGAGGACGGGGACAGACACGCACACACUCGUGAUAAAUUAUAGCUGUGUGUGAUAUAUGACAGUAUAAAACAAUCCUUUUAUCAAUGUCAUGUUUGAAAACUGAAAACAUGUAUUUUUUUCAAAACAAAUGAAAUAUUUGAAAAA